rnacentral:tRNA from 3 species
GGGUCUAUAGCUCAGUUGGUUAGAGCGCACGCCUGAUAAGCGUGAGGUCGAUGGUUCGAGUCCAUUUAGACCCACCA